UACAGAGGUCUCAAGCGUUGUUCGGAUUCAUUGGGCGUAAAGGGUGCGUAGGCGGCGCGGUAAGUCGGGUGUGAAAUCUUGGAGCUUAACUCCGAAACUGCAUUCGAUACUGCCGUGCUUGAGGACUGGAGAGGAGACUGGAAUUUACGGUGUAGCGGUGAAAAUGCGUAGAUAUCGUAAGGAAGACCAGUGGCGAAGGCGGGUCUCUGGACAGUUCCUGACGCUGAGGCACGAAGGCCAGGGGGAGCAAAACGGG
rnacentral:rRNA from 1 species